rnacentral:lncRNA from 10 species
UUUUCUUCCGCCUUCUGACUGCGGAAGGAAGGGCCUGGGAGGAAGCAGAAAACCUCACGUGGCUCGGGCUACCUCUGAAGAAAAGAUGAUGGCCCGGUGCGGUGGCUCACGCCUGUAAUCCCAGCACUUUGGGAGGCCGAGUCAGGCGGAUCACCUGAGCAGUGUAAAGAAAGUCUGAAGAAUACUCCAGGAAAAUUGAGGAAACUAAAGCUAUUUCUACUACUGGUCUCAUAAUUGCAAAGCCAGUGCCUACCAUGAUAAGUGCUCUCUUACUUGGAAGAAGACGUAUAAGCCUUUAAGCUUAGUAAACCUUUGGGUUCUGUGCAUUUGGCCAUCAUUCCAGUUGUCAGCAUUGUGCAGGACAGGUACUUGAGGUCUGUUUUUGUGAACCAGGGACCCGAGGCACAGAGCAAGUAAGUGGAUAGAAACAAAUGCUGUAAGAACAAAUAAUUGUAUUUAAAAAUUUAUGAUUUUCAUUUAUUUUUCAGAGGAAGCAUUAAUGAGUAGGUAGUAAUUUCUGGGUAUUAAAAAACCAUCAGAGACAUUUCUUUUUCCUUAUAAAAGAAGUCAUAACAGUGAACAUUUA